UAGGUCUAGUGAAAGAAUGUUGGCAUG
rnacentral:piRNA from 1 species